GCUCUCAUGAAGUUAGCGGCGGACGGGUGAGUAACACGUGGGUAACCUGCCCAUAAGACUGGGAUAACUCCGGGAAACCGGGGCUAAUACCGGAUAACAUUUUGAACUGCAUGGUUCGAAAUUGAAAGGCGGCUUCGGCUGUCACUUAUGGAUGGACCCGCGUCGCAUUAGCUAGUUGGUGAGGUAACGGCUCACCAAGGCAACGAUGCGUAGCCGACCUGAGAGGGUGAUCGGCCACACUGGGACUGAGACACGGCCCAGACUCCUACGGGAGGCAGCAGUAGGGAAUCUUCCGCAAUGGACGAAAGUCUGACGGAGCAACGCCGCGUGAGUGAUGAAGGCUUUCGGGUCGUAAAACUCUGUUGUUAGGGAAGAACAAGUGCUAGUUGAAUAAGCUGGCACCUUGACGGUACCUAACCAGAAAGCCACGGCUAACUACGUGCCAGCAGCCGCGGUAAUACGUAGGUGGCAAGCGUUAUCCGGAAUUAUUGGGCGUAAAGCGCGCGCAGGUGGUUUCUUAAGUCUGAUGUGAAAGCCCACGGCUCAACCGUGGAGGGUCAUUGGAAACUGGGAGACUUGAGUGCAGAAGAGGAAAGUGGAAUUCCAUGUGUAGCGGUGAAAUGCGUAGAGAUAUGGAGGAACACCAGUGGCGAAGGCGACUUUCUGGUCUGUAACUGACACUGAGGCGCGAAAGCGUGGGGAG
rnacentral:rRNA from 1 species